rnacentral:rRNA from 1 species
GAUGAACGCUGACAGAAUGCUUAACACAUGCAAGUCGACUUGCACCUCGGUCUGCGUGGUGGACGGGUGAGUAACGCGUAAAGAACUUGCCUCACAGCUAGGGACAACAUUUGGAAACGAAUGCUAAUAGCUGAUAUUAUGACUUUAGGGCAUCCUAGAAUUAUGAAAGCUAUAUGCGCUGUGCGAGAGCUUUGCGUCACAUUAGCUAGUUGGAGAGGUAACGGCUGAGCAAGGCGAUGAUGGGUAGCCGGCCUGGGAGGGUGAACGGCCACAAGGGGACUGGGACACGGCCCUUAGGCAAUCGGGAGGAAGGAGGGGAGAAUAUUGGACGAUAGACCGAGAGUGUGAACCAGGAAUUCGGUGUGCAAGAUGAAGUUUUUCGGGAUGAAAAGUGCUGUGAGAAUGGAAGAAAAAAAUGACGGUACCAAAAGAAGAAGUAACGGCUAAAUACGUG